GGAAAGUGACCGUAUGGCAAAAUUAACUAUUUGAACGUUGACACUAAUCUGUCAUUUUAUUUUGACCUAGAGCUGGAAACAUACUACCUACUUGGGUUGAAAUUAAUAAUUUAAUUCAAAUAUUUUGUACAUUUAAUCCCAAGAUAUAACAUACUUUUUCUAUAUCUUUUUGUAUCUCUUCAAAUAUUUGAAUCCCCGGCAUACACUUAUUUCUGUCAUCUACUCCAGAGGUCAUCAACCCUCGGUCUGUGGCCUGGUGCUGGUCCGUGGCCCGAGCCAGACUGGGCCACGGAGACAGACAUCCCCCCCUGCACGCACUCCCCUCCUCACAGCUGCUUUGUGCACGCGUGCGUGUGCCAACGCUGGCGUGAGCACUCCUCCACCCCUUCAAACAUGCGCCCGAGUACCCGCGUGAAGGGGUGGGUGGGCGCAGGUGGGCGUGCAGGCGCCCCUGCGCUUGCACGAAAGGGUGGAGGAGCACUCACGCCAGCGCUAGCAGGAAGGUGGGCGCUCCCCCACCGCUUCGCGCAUGUGCCUGAGAGCGCACACACACCCACACGCACCUGCAGCGGGGGCACUUUCCUGGGAGGCUCAACUGGUUGGCGGUCCCAAAAAGGUUGGGGACCGGUGAUCUAGUCGAUUUAUAAUUUCACAUCAAAUUUGUCUGACAGAACUGUGAACUAAUGAACUGUACCUGAUC